rnacentral:rRNA from 1 species
GACGAACGCUGGCGGCGUGCUUAACACAUGCAAGUCGAACGGAAAGGCCCUGCGUUUGCGGGGUGCACGUUUGGGGCACGGGUGAGUAUCACGUGAGUAUCCUGUACCUGUCUUUGGGAUAAAUCUUGGAAACUGGGGCUAAUACCGGAUAGGAUCUCCUGCAGCACGGUGGGCGUUAGAAAGAGUCGGCGGUUGGGGCUGGACUCGCUGGUUAUCAGCUUGAUGGGGUGGUAGUUGCUUACCAAGGGUUUGACGGGUAGCCGGCAUGAGAGGGUGACCGGCCACCAGAGGACUGAGAUACGGAGCAGACUGCUAUGGUAGGCAGCAGUGGAGAAUAUGGCACAACGGGCGGAAGCCUGAUGCAACAACGCCGCGUUCGGGAUGACGGGCUUCGGGUUGUAAACAACUUUCGAAUGUGACGAAGAGUGCGUGACGGUAAUGGGUAAAGAAGCCCCGGCUAACUACGUG